rnacentral:piRNA from 1 species
UCUGAAUCCUCUAUGACUAGAAUUAUGGAC